UCUCCAAAAUGCUUCUGUUAUCACUAUGCAAAACUAUCGUAAACUAUUCAUACAUCGUCAGUCCAAAAAUAUUGCAGUGCAUUUACAGAAGUGACAAAUGCAUUUUAAAACUGAAUCUCUAUAUGAAAAAUAGCUUGCUUUUUCAAAAUAUUUAAAAGUAAACCAAUGAAUUCACUCAAAAAAUUAAGGUAGUUGCAAGUGAAUUUACAUAAAUGAUGUACUGCAGUUACUAUAACAUAACAUAACAUAAAAUAAAAUAAUAUAUAAAUUGUUACUAACAAUAAUGUUAGCAUCUUUAUUCUUGAAGCGUGUUAAUGUUAGAAACUGUGUUUUAUGAAAAUGUCAACAUUCACAAUUUUGCAGAAAUGGAGUGACUUCUGUUUUCCGUACACAUGCAAAAAUAAAUGCAAUUGUCACUCCCAAAACCUCACUUAGUUAACCGCCACUUUAUUUAUAAAUAUUUUUAUAUAGAUAGUUUGUAGACAAAGCUAAAAAUCGCUCUCAUCCUGAAGUCUUCAUGUAUCUUACAACACAGCUUGUACAAUAUUGCGCCACAGUGGUAAAGAAAGGUCAGAGAUCCUGUUUUUGAUUCUUAAAACACUUUCAGAAAAGCAACGCAAAACUGAACGAGGUCAAAUAAUGGACUCCACCAAAAGAAAAAAGGAAAAGAAAAUGAAGGGAACAUAUAGUGCUGCUGAGGGAAAGCACGGGUUCUCUAACCUUUCUCCAUGUUGGGGACGGGGUCUUCGCGCAUCACUGGCGAGGUAAGAGAGAUGGUGACCUGCAUUUUUGGUUCCUUGCUUGAAAAAAUGACGAUGUUGGCUUCCUCAGGGUGUACCUGCACCUCAUACUGAUCUUCAGAAAAGGUCUGCCGGUUAAAAGGACACUUUGCAUUACUACAGAGGAGACGGCAGGGGCCCCGGGUAUAUGGGGUCUGUAUUUUGUCCCUCAUUUUCCCUGUGGUAUAUUGCCACACUCAAAGGCUUUGCUGAAUAUUGCACAAGAUAAAUGGUGAUGUAAAUGUAAAUGAAGUACACGCCCCAGUCUCUCUCUGUAGGUGUCGUAACCAGGCAGUGGAACUAAAGAUCAGUUAAAGAUACACGGACCACAACAGCAAGUAAAAAACUCAUUUAUUUGCAGUGAUUUUGAAAUAUAUAUGAGUGGAUCACACAAUAAAUGACCAAAAAUGUGUCUGGGUCAGAUUUCAUCCCAAAUAAGAAAUUAUAUACUGUAUCAAGUAAAUAAAGUAUGUUUUAUAAA